UACGUAGGGUGCGAGCGUUAAUCGGAAUUACUGGGCGUAAAGCGUGCGCAGGCGGUUUUGUAAGACAGAGGUGAAAUCCCCGGGCUCAACCUGGGAACUGCCUUUGUGACUGCAAAGCUGGAGUGCGGCAGAGGGGGAUGGAAUUCCGCGUGUAGCAGUGAAAUGCGUAGAUAUGCGGAGGAACACCGAUGGCGAAGGCAAUCCCCUGGGCCUGCACUGACGCUGAGGCGCGACAGCGUGGGGAGCAAACAGG
rnacentral:rRNA from 1 species